rnacentral:rRNA from 1 species
GGCAGCAGCAGGGAAUAUUGCACAAUGGACGGAAGUCUGAUGCAGCGACGCCGCGUGGAUGAUGAAGGCCUCGGGUCGUAAAAUCCUUUUCAGGGGGAAGAGGAAGGACGGUACCCCUGGAAUAAGCGUCGGCUAACUACGUGCCAGCAGCCGCGGUAAGACGUAGGACGCAAGCGUUAUCCGGAUUUACUGGGCGUAAAGCGUCUGUAGGCGGUUGGGUAAGUUGGGCGUGAAAGCUCCGUGCUCAACGCGGAGAGGUCGUUCAAUACUGCCGAACUAGAGGACAUCAGAGGAGCAUGGAAUUUCCGGUGUAGCGGUAAAAUGCGCAGAUAUCGGAAGGAACACCAGUGGCGAAGGCGGUGCUCUGGGGUGUGCCUGACGCUGAGAGACGAAAGCUAGGGGAGCGAACAGGAUUAGAGACCCUGGUAGUCCUGGCCCUAAACGAUGGAUGCUAGAUGUGGGGCCGAGAAGGCUCCGUGUCGCAGUUAACGCGCUAAGCAUCCCGCCUGGGGAUUACGGCCGCAAGGCUAAAACUCAAACGAAUUGACGGGGCCCCGCACAAGCAGCGGAGCGUGUGGUUUAAUUCGAUGCUACACGAAGAACCUUACCUGGGUUUGACAUGUAAGUGGUAGUGAAGCGAAAGCAGAGCGACCCUUCGGGGAGCUUGCACAGGUGCUGCAUGGCUGUCGUCAGCUCGUGCCGUGAGGUGUCGGGUUAAGUCCCGUAACGAGCGCAACCCUUGCCCUUAGUUACAAGUGUCUAAGGGGACUGCCGGCGGUAAGCCGGAGGAAGGUGGGGAUGACGUCAAGUCAGCAUGGCCCUUAUAUCCAGGGCUACACACACGCUACAAUGGUCAGUACAAAGGGCAGCGAAGCCGCGAGGUGAAGCGAAUCCCACCAAAGCUGAUCUAAGUUCGGAUUGCAGGCUGCAACUCGCCUGCAUGAAGCUGGAGUUGCUAGUAACCGCGCGUCAGCCAUAGUGCGGUGAAUACGUUCACCGGGGCUUGUACACACCGCCCGUCACGUCAUGGGAGUCGGUAACGCCUGAAGCUGGUAGUCUGGCCCU